rnacentral:rRNA from 1 species
AGUGAACGCUGGCGGUAGGCCUAACACAUGCAAGUCGAACGGCAGCACAGUAAGAGCUUGCUCUUACGGGUGGCGAGUGGCGGACGGGUGAGGAAUACAUCGGAAUCUACUUUUUCGUGGGGGAUAACGUAGGGAAACUUACGCUAAUACCUCAUACGACCUACGGGUGAAAGCAGGGGAUCUUCGGACCUUGCGCGAUUGAAUGAGCCGAUGUCGGCUUAGCUGGUUGGCGGGGUAAAGGCCCACCAAGGCGACGAUCCGUAGCUGGUCUGAGAGGAUGAUCAGCCACACGGGAACUGAGACGAGGUCCAGACUCCUACGGGAGGCAGCAGGGGGGAAUAUUGGAAAAUGGGCGCAAGCCUGAUCCAGACAUACCGCGUGGGUGAAGAAGGCCUUCGGGUUGUAAAGCCAUGUUGUUGGGAGAGAAAAGAAGCAGGUUAAUACGCCGCUGUUCUGACGGUACCAAAAGAAUAAGCACCGGCUAACUUCGU